rnacentral:tRNA from 1 species
GGGGUUGUGGCUGAGUGGUAGAGCGCUGGCCUAGCAUGUCCAAGGCCCUGGGUUCGAUCCUCAGCACCUCA